rnacentral:rRNA from 1 species
CCUACGGGAGGCAGCAGUAGGGAAUAUUGGGCAAUGGAGGCAACUCUGACCCAGCCAUGCCGCGUGCAGGAAGAAGGCGUUAUGCGUUGUAAACUGCUUUUAUAUAGGAAGAAAUAGACCUUGCGAGGUAAGUUGACGGUACUAUAUGAAUAAGCACCGGCUAACUCCGUGCCAGCAGCCGCGGUAAUACGGAGGGUGCAAGCGUUGUCCGGAUUUAUUGGGUUUAAAGGGUGCGUAGGCGGUUUAUUAAGUCAGUGGUGAAAGACGGUCGCUCAACGAUUGCAGUGCCAUUGAUACUGGUAGACUUGAGUGGGAUUGAGGUAGCUGGAAUGGAUAGUGUAGCGGUGAAAUGCAUAGAUAUUAUCCAGAACACCAAUUGCGUAGGCAAGUUACUAAGUCUCAACUGACGCUGAGGCACGAAAGUGUGGGUAUCAAACAGGAUUAGAUACCCUGGUAGUCCACACUGUAAACGAUGAUAACUAACUGUUGGCUUUCGAGUCAGUGGUACAGAGAAAUCGUUAAGUUAUCCACCUGGGGAGUACGCCGGCAACGGUGAAACGUCAAAGUAGUAGUAGCGNGNGAGAGCGACGACGACGACGACGGAGGGAGG